UACGUAGGGGGCAAGCGUUGUCCGGAUUUACUGGGCGUAAAGAGCGUGUAGGCGGCCCGGUAAGUCCGCUGUGAAAGUCGGGGGCUCAACCCUCGAAUGCCGGUGGAUACUGUCGGGCUAGAGUGCGGAAGAGGCGAGUGGAAUUCCUGGUGUAGCGGUGAAAUGCGCAGAUAUCAGGAGGAACACCAAUUGCGAAGGCAGCUCGCUGGGACGUAACUGACGCUGAGACGCGAAAGCGUGGGGAGCAAACAGG
rnacentral:rRNA from 1 species